rnacentral:rRNA from 1 species
UACGUAGGAUGCAAGCGUUGUCCGGAAUUAUUGGGCGUAAAGAGCGAGCAGGCGGUUUGGAAAGUUGGACGUGAAAUUUUAGGGCUUAACCCUAAAGGGUCGUCCAAAACUCCCAGACUAGAGUGCAGGAGAGGAAAGCGGAAUUCCCGGUGUAGUGGUGAAAUGCGUAGAUAUCGGGAGGAACACCAGUGGCGAAGGCGGUUACCUGGAGCUUUGCUGACGCUGAUGCGCGAAAGCGUGGGGAUCAAACAGG